CGUAAAAAUCGCUUGCUAGGUCCGUAAAUCUCAGUAAAAACCUACAAUAAAAUGUCCGCUCCGAGAUUGAAAUACUAAUCUGUGUUACAAACAGGUGCUGAAAAAUGGACAUUAUCAAAAAAUAAUCAUUAAAUGUGUUUUAAAGUUACACCGGAUCGAUUAAAUCCAAAACAUGCACUGCUGGUGAACUGUGAUCAAAAUGUCAAUUUCCUACAAUGACAAAAGAAAUUACAUUGUGUACAUUCCAUCUCUAGACAUGUUGUCUGUUCAAGGUCCCGACCUAAAAAGAAAUUAAAAGACUAAGUUUUUCUUAAUAUAAACCCGCGUCACGUGAUGUCUCCUCAAUCUUGCGCGCGCGCUGUAUCUAAAAUAAAAGAAAAACUUUCCAAACUAAACAUGAAACUUCUCCGGUAACAUAAUAAUAUAGACCCAUACCAAAGCAACAAACAAACAAAUAAACAAAUACCCCCCCCCCCUUUUCCAAAUCAAUCAAUAAAAAAAAUCAAUUAUCCAUUCAUCAGAGGGGAAAGACUGCCUAACAAUUGUUUUCAAAACAAUUGCUUUAUAUUUAUUAUUAAGUCUUUCCACUUUUCUGUGGAAAGACUUAUUGUAUUUGUUCUGAUUAUUAUUAUUAUUAUUAUUAUUAAGUCUUUCCACUUUUCUGUGGAAAGACUUAUUGUUUUUCUUCUGAUUAUUAUUUUUUUUUUUUUCUUCCGCCAAAUUUUGUUCUUGCGCAAAAUGUUUGUUUCGCAAUAUGUCGCUUAGAUAUUUCUCAUAUGGUAUCGUAUAGUUUAUGCGCUUUUAAAUUUCACCCUGCUAAGGCGAACCAUUUUCUUUGUAAGAGUUAUCUCCCUAUUCACUGUUUAUCAUCUGUGUGCAUCUCCUUCGUAACAAAAAAAGAUAGCGACAAAAUUCCUUUUACAAAUUGUUCGUUACAUCCUCAGGAAUUUUUGGCUAAUUGGGAUCGAAGCGAUUCGAUGACAUUUUAUAGGAGUUAUCUACCUUUACAAAAUAAAUUUGUCGGUAUGUUUUUUUAACUCAUAAACAGUCAACUGUAUAACCCUGGAAUGUUUUUAUUUGAGGCCCCUAGGUCCUAACUUACAAAAUGAGGUCAAGGUCAAAGGUCAAGGUCAAGUUCUCAAUUGUGACUUUUGCUUGUUUUUGCAUUUUCUCAGACAUUUUGAAAGAUACAUAUAAAAGAACAAGUGCAAAAUGUCUGCUUUAUUGUAAUAAAGAUAUGCUACGUUUAGUCUAAUACAAUUUAAUGGCAUCUUAUAGGAGUUGGUGCCCCUGAAAUGUCUUGAUAUGAGGUUAUUUGAUUAUAACUUUAACUAAGUUCAUUAUAAAGGCAUUUGACCUUGUACAAAGGGUAAGGUGACAAAUGACCUUGAAAAAUGACUACCGGAAGUGACCUUGAGAAAACCGGAAGUAGCCUUUUUUGCAAUUUUUUCAUAUAAAAUUACUCAGAAUCCAUAUAUUUUGUCAUAUAGAUACAUAAACUGAUUACUGAAGACUCAAAAUGACUUCCAACAAACCGGAAGUGGCCAAUUAUCUCCCA
rnacentral:lncRNA from 1 species